GACGAACGCUGGCGGCGUGCUUAACACAUGCAAGUCGAACGGUAAGGCCCCAGCUUGCUGGGGUACACUAGUGGCGAACGGGUGAGUAACACGUGGGUGACCUGCCCUGCACUUCGGGAUAUGCCUAGGACACUGGGUCUAAUACCGGAUAGGACCGCACCGUGAGGGUGUGGUGGGAAGUUUUUUCGGUGUGGGAUGGGCUCGCGGCCUAUCAGCUUGUUGGUGGGGUAGUGGCCUACCAAGGCGGGGACAGGUAGCCGGCCUGAGAGGGUGGACGGCCACAUUGGGACUGAGAUGCGGCACAGACUAGUACGGGAGGCAGGAGAGGAGAAGAUAGCACAAUGGGCGGAAGCAUGAUGUAGCGACGCAGCGUGGGGGAAGACGGCAAUCGGGUUGUGAUCUACUUUCACCUUAGACGAAGGGAUUAUGACGGUAGAUGGAGAAGAAGCACCGGCUAACUACGUG
rnacentral:rRNA from 1 species